GAACUAUAAAAUGAGAAAAGAUUGAUGAAUAUUAAGUAGAAGAGUGAGAUGGUCAUCUUUGCAUUUAAAAAAGAUCAUUUGCUGUUGCUGUAUGGAAAAUGAAUUGGAGCAGGAAUUAUUGAUCAAAUUUGGAUCUCUGUGUGCUGUCCUCCAAUUUAAUACUUUCUGUGUUGCUGUUUUAUUUUCUUUCUUCUGGAACCUGGCAAAGUGCGUCAAGCGAUGAGGCUUCCUCUUUGAAGAUCACAGGUGAGAAGAUUAGGUGCUUUCUCAGAAGCCCAGCAACCUGAUGGGAGUGUGGAGUGAGCAAGACCCAAAUCGGAGCUUCAUCCCUGCAUGGUUCAUUUUGCUUAUUUGGCAAACUUGCCCUGCAGAAUCUACUCAAGCUUCCUCAGUUUCUCAAAUCAUUCUUGGGCAACAAAUGAACAAGAAAGAGGACGUCUUAUUAUCUGGUGUCUGGCUUGCUGAUUUAAUAACCUAGGAGACAGUGUUUGAAGAACACAAACUCUAAAGUCCUUCACUUAAAAAAAAAAAAAAACUUUCCCAAAUUGCUUACCAUUUGGAAAAAUUGCCUUACCUUCUUCAGUCAUCUCUGAUGUUGUCAUCCUCAGAGUAAGAAGUACGCAUUCAUAAGGAACCAUAACGUCCUUCAGGAAAUCCAGUACACCCUACAAUUUUACCUAAAACUUUGAUGUUGUUUUUUCUGAGCAUUUUACCUUCUAGGGAAAUGGAUCUCAUGCUGUUUAUCAGUUUCUGAAAGUUGUUAUUAAUCUCCCCUCAUCCCAAAAUUGAAGAACUUUGCUUAAAUCUUAGAAUCAGAACUUUGGCUCCAGUAAUAAAGACUUUUCAAUAUCUUUAUCUGCCAUUGAGUCUUACCUAACGAAAUAAAGCCUCCAAAGUGGGAAUUUGAAAUGUUUUAGAAUCUUUUUUUUUCCUUUUGACAUAGUGAUUGGUGGGAUGCUACAGGCAGUUAGUGGUUAGGGUCCAGAAAUGCCAGACAUCUUGCAGUGAGAGGGAUAGUCUGUACAAGGAAGAAUUCUCACAUGUUCUGACUAACACUGGAUAUUAUUACAGGUGAAAACAUUGGAAUCUUGUGAACCUCAACCUGUGUUUUACAUAUGUAUACAUGAAGCAUCCAAUGGCAUUACACCUCAGCCAGAGAAGAAGCUCUUAAGAGAU
rnacentral:lncRNA from 1 species